rnacentral:rRNA from 1 species
AUGGACCAUUCCAUCCCUUUUUCCUGUGCAUAUGCAUCGGAUUCGGAUGACGAAGGUCCUGAUGAACAAGUUAAUGAGGAGGGGUUCACGGUGAAGGAGGCCGAAGCUUUUGAGAAGGUAUUCGGUCGGGAUCACAAGACACCAUUGUUCAAGGAUGUUAGUCUUGCGGAUGAAGCUGUUGUGGAUGGUGGCAAAUCUAUAUCUCUUGGGGUUAGUCCAAGCUCUCACCAUGAUUUGGGAGACGACAAGAACCGGAUUGCUAAAGGGUCUAAGUUCGAAACCUUCUUGGAAUUGAAGAUGUGGCUCGACAACUACUCGGUUACACAUUAUCGUCCACACAAGGUGGUGCACUCGGACGUCAAUGUGCGCUACACGGUUGCAUGUGCAUGUGAAGAUGAAAUAUGUCUGUGGAUUGUGCGUGCAAGACCAUGGAAAGGAGGUCCCACUUGGCACGUAGUGAGUUGUGUGCCAACUCACAUGUGCCGAGGCAAAAGGGUGGAUGGCAAGAUUGUGUCCCAAGACCACAACUCACGUCCGAGUUCAUCGCUUACAGGCUCUCCAACUCAAUAUCCACACUUCCAACAAUGA